rnacentral:other from 1 species
AAGCGUCUGAGAUGUGCGUUGUUCAUAUAUCGUGUGGACCGAACACUUCUAAUCAAGGGAUCCUAUGAUUUUGUAACAAUGACGAGCCAAUGAAACUUUGGAUGUCAAGACCUAUAAAUGUGGAGCCCACCUGUAUAUACUUACAGGUUCAGUACAUAUAUGUACAUAGACGGCAUCAUCGGAUUCUUU